rnacentral:rRNA from 1 species
UACAGAGGGUGCAAGCGUUAAUCGGAAUUACUGGGCGUAAAGCGUGCGUAGUCGGUUAUCUAAGUCGGGUGUGAAAUCCCCGGGCUUAACCUGGGAACUGCACUUGAAACUACGAUGCUGGAGUAUGGCAGAGGGAGGUGGAAUUCCACGUGUAGCGGUGAAAUGCGUAGAGAUGUGGAGGAACACCGAUGGCGAAGGCAGCCUCCUGGGCCAAUACUGACGCUCAUGCACGAAAGCGUGGGGAGCAAACAGG